GUGAGGAAUAUUGGACAAUGGGCGCAAGCCUGAUCCAGCCAUGCCGCGUGCAGGAAGACGCAUCUAUGGUGUGUAAACUGCUUUUGUACGGGAAGAAACACUCCCUCGUGAGGGAGCUUGACGGUACCGUAAGAAUAAGGAUCGGCUAACUCCGUGCCAGCAGCCGCGGUAAUACGGAGGAUCCAAGCGUUAUUCGGAAUCAUUGGGUUUAAAGGGUCCGUAGGCGGUUUAAUAAGUCAGUGGUGAAAGCCCAUCGCUCAACGAUGGAACGGCCAUUGAUACUGUUAGACUUGAAUUACAAGGAAGUAACUAGAAUAUGUAGUGUAGCGGUGAAAUGCUUAGAUAUUACAUGGAAUACCAAUUGCGAAGGCAGGUUACUACUUGUGGAUUGACGCUGAUGGACGAAAGCGUGGGGAGCGAACAGGAUUAGAUACCCGUGUAGUCC
rnacentral:rRNA from 1 species